UUUAUGUCGGAAACCUUCAUCUAGGAACAACUGUGGAAAUUGCCAUUGUAAAUAUAAAGAUACUAGAUGGAUGAAAUAUGAGCGAUCUAUAGGCUUGCAUGAAUCAAAACAUGCUGAACCGAAAGUAAUUUUAUAGACGGGCUUAGCAGCUCCGUUUCAGUGAUUCUAACGGAGAUGUGAAUAUUUUGGUCAAUAAACUCUUGAAAUUAUACAUAAUUAUCAAUGAAAGCCCAGUUUCCAGUCCAGCAAACGAUAGUUAGAUCAAAAUCAGUUAGAAGAAAACCCAUAAAAAUUUUAAUGUGUGUACAUUUUGUAAGAAGUAACAAGCCUCCUAGAAAAACACAUUACUCGACUUAAAAAAUACAAUAAGAAUGAUUAGAGUGUGUAAUUUUAUAAUAGAAAAGUUGGGUCGAGCACAGUAAAUGAUAUAACUCAAAAGAAAGCAACAUGAAGCUGAAACUACCUACGAAGAUUAUGACUUUUCCAGCCUGAUCAAAUGCACGGUUUGAAUGGGAAAAACUUCCGUUUCCAUCUAAUAUAUGAGUGCAGCUGAAGCGACGUAAACAAGUCGCUUAAAUGAGUUAAUUUAGAUUGCAAAACCGCCAAAAACUAUCAAGUUUAUAAACCGUACGAAACUAAAAAAAUAUGCAUUACACAAUUCUGUUAAUCAAAUAAAUAAUUAUGUUUCC